rnacentral:rRNA from 1 species
GACAGAGGGUGCAAACGUUUGUUCGGAAUUACUGGGCGUAAAGCGCGUGUAGGCGGCUAAGUAAGUCGGGCGUGAAAUCCCACGGCUCAACCGUGGAAGUGCACUCGAAACUGCAUAGCUAGAGUCCUGGAGAGGAAGGUGGAAUGCUUGGUGUAGAGGUGAAAUUCGUAGAUAUCAAGCGGAACACCGGUGGCGAAGGCGGCCUUCUGGACAGUGACUGACGCUGAGACGGCGAAAGCGUGGGGA